GUGGGGAAUAUUGCACAAUGGGCGAAAGCCUGAUGCAGCAACGCCGCGUGAAGGAAGAAGGUCUUCGGAUCGUAAACUUCUGUCCUAGGGGAAGAAGAACUGACGGUACCCUUGGAGGAAGCCCCGGCUAACUACGUGCCAGCAGCCGCGGUAAUACGUAGGUUGCAAGCGUUGUCCGGAUUUACUGGGUGUAAAGGGCGUGUAGGCGGAGGAGCAAGUCAGAUGUGAAAUCCCGGGGCUUAACCCCGGAACUGCAUUUGAAACUGUUCCCCUUGAGUAUCGGAGAGGCAAGCGGAAUUCCUAGUGUAGCGGUGAAAUGCGUAGAUAUUAGGAGGAACACCAGUGGCGAAGGCGGCUUGCUGGACGACAACUGACGCUGAGGCGCGAAAGCGUGGGGAGCAAACAGGAUUAGAUACCCCAGUAGUCC
rnacentral:rRNA from 1 species